ensembl:lncRNA
AAAAGUUUCCAGAUACAUUCUCCUUUGCCCUCUGUGAUGACACUGGAAUGUGGUGUUAUCGUUGCCAUGUUGCCGAUCCUGGAGCUGCUACUGAGGAGGUUAGGCAUUUUGCCCUUGCCCAAGGUCGUGUAGCAAAUAAGUGAUAUCUUUUAGCCAGGUCUUCUCUCUCUAAAGUCCCACUCUUUCUCCUACUCUUUUCCCUCUAAAAUGUGCCAAAAAGCAAUUUUAUUUGUUUAAAGAUAAAGUACUUUUCAGUCCUCCUAAUGAAUUUGAUCAUGUGUAAGCUUUAAAAGAAAUAAGGAAAUGAAUUCCUAUCAUUUGAAGGAGUGAGCCGUGUUGGUAGGGCCAACUCUUUGCAGAUCAGUAAAUUAUCUUAGGUCAUCUCAUUCCUUAGCUUUACCUCUUUGCCUCCCUGCCAUGGGAGGAUAAUGAUGUCCUAGUUUGUGAAGGGCUCUCCAGUAUAGGAUGGGCAAGGGAGGGAUGUCUCAGGUUCAUCAGGAUUGCUACUUUCUUAGUGUUUCUGGGUGUGAGAUUUGAAAGUAAACUGUUUAACAAAGCUGGCUUUCUAUAGGAAUUUUUUUCCCCAAAUUUCAGCCAUUUGUGGUAGCUCUUUGUUUGUUUUAAUCCAGAAUCAAAAAAGAGGAGGUGGCUGUAGUGUUGCCCAAGCAGAGACUGAACAUGACCUGCUUUGACUGCUACAAUGUAAUUCACCCAUGUCUCCAUCCCCAUCUUUGGCGUGUUCUGAAGACUCUCAUAAUGGAAUGGCACAGGGCUGCUUCUCCAUCUUUACAGGAUACAGAGAAUGAUCACCAUGAUAAGUUCGGUUAACACCCAUCACCUCACAUACCAAGAUCUUUUGGAAGGAAGAACAGAUAUCUUGAAUUUCUUAUUGGAAUGCUGGGCUGUUUCUUAUUUUUCCCAGAAGGAUCGAGCAUUGUAAAUCCACCCGCGUAAAUCCAGGAAACUUUACCUCGCAAGCAGGACUCUGGCUUCUGUUGGAGUUGAUCAGCUACCACUGCUGGUGGAGAAGACCGUAUCAGACAUUAAUGAACGAUGUAAAGAAGGAAAAGAAAGUGAACGACCACGUCCUUACCACCCAGGUUAAAAAAUCAGGGAAUUGCCAGGGUCUUAGAAGCGCCACUCCCGUUGGUCCCAGAGCUCUUUGCUCCCCCAGAGGGGGAGCCUCAGGAGCUGUUGCCAACCUGGUCUCCAAACUCGCUGUACCAUUUUGUGUCUCCUCCAGCAAGUGUGAGAGAUCCAGCUGCCCCACAUCGUCACCAAGACUCGGCAUGGUCUGUCUUUUUAAUUUCAGCCGUUCUGGUUUACUGACAGUUUGGAAAUCCUCUUUUGUGAAGUAACCGAUUGUGGGUCUUCUAUAAAAGGAUAUAAGUCAAGAACAGCCAGAUGAAAGAGAUGCUCCAGGGCCAGGUGUGGGGAAAGGGUGCAGAGCUUCCGUGCCCUCUCCGGGCACGCCACUCUCCCAGCACCGCUACGUGUUCACCAACCUCGGAACUGGUGCGGGAUUUUCUGUUCUGGUUCUUUCAUAAUACUCUGAGCAUCUGCAUCUACACCAGGGUUGACGGUUGUGCUUAGCAGGAAGGAACAGGUCUAUGCUAUCUUGUCCGGACUGGAAACCUCUAUUUUUUAACCAUCAAUGCCUCUCAGGUCUGACCUCAGACCCAAGCCUCUGUGAACUCUUCCACCAUCAGUGCUACUCUAGUCUGUCCUCGAACGCGGGUUUCUGUCAGUUCACCGCCAGUGCCCGUCUUUUAUAUAUCUUCAACUCCGGCCUCUGCGAGCUCUGCUACCAUCCACGCCCUUCUGGUCUGUAACUCAGAACCACGCCUCUUUCACCUUGACCACCGUCAAUGGCAUAUUGUGUAGAAUCGUGCCACCAGAUAUGGCAGAUGCUAGCCACGUGUAGCUACUGAGCACUUGAAAUGAGGCUAAUGAGACUGAGAAUUGAAUUCUAAAUUUUAUUUAUUUUAAUUAAUUAAAAAUUUAAAAUAGGUGCUCAAUUCAGUUAUUGGAAACCUUUUAAACUAUUUUUGGAACAACUCGUGACUAUUAAUCUACAUUUUCAACUGUAAAUUUUAAGAAAUCUAAAUACAAAUCAAGUAUUUCCGAUGAAAAUUUAGCAUUCAAAUUGAGAUGUAUUGUGAGUGUAAAAUAGACGUCUGAUUUCAUAGACUAAUUACAAGAAAAAGAAUGCCAAAUCCCAUUAAUAAUUUAAAAAAUUGAUUACAUGUUGAAAUGAUAAUGUUUUGGAUAUGUGG